AGUCAAUAGAUACCCUGGUAGUCCACGCCGUAAACGAUGAGUACUAGGUGUAGGAGGUAUCGACUCCUUCUGUGCCGCAGUUAACACAAUAAGUACUCCGCCUGGGAAGUACGGUCGCAAGAUUAAAACUCAAAGGAAUUGACGGGGGCCCGCACAAGCAGCGGAGCAUGUGGUUUAAUUCGAAGCAACGCGAAGAACCUUACCUAGACUUGACAUCCCCUGAAUAACGUAGAGAUACGCGAAGCCCUUCGGGGCAGGGAGACAGGUGGUGCAUGGUUGUCGUCAGCUCGUGUCGUGAGAUGUUGGGUUAAGUCCCGCAACGAGCGCAACCCUUAUCAUUAGUUGCUACCAUUUAGUUGAGCACUCUAGUGAGACUGCCCGGGUUAACCGGGAGGAAGGCGGGGAUGACGUCAAAUCAUCAUGCCCCUUAUGUCUAGGGCUACACACGUGCUACAAUGGUGAGAACAACGAGAUGCAAUACCGCGAGGUGGAGCAAAACUUCAAAACUCAUCUCAGUUCGGAUUGUAGGCUG
rnacentral:rRNA from 1 species